GGCAGCCUACAAGGCCUUUACUGACGCUAAAGCUCGAAGGUGCGGGGUAUCGAACAGGAUUAGAUACCCUGGUAGUCCGCACGGUAAAACGAUGGGAUGCCCCGCUGUUUGCGAUAUAUUGUAAGCGGCCAAGCGAAAGCGUUAAGCAUCCCACCUGGGGGAGUACGCCGGCAACGGUGAAACUCAAAGGAUUUGACGGGGGCCCGCACAAGCGGAGGAACAUGUGGUUUAAUUCGAUGAUACGCGAGGAACCUUACCCGGGCUUGAACUGCAGGAGAACGAUCCAGAGAUGGUGAGGCCCCUCGGGGCUCCUGUGGAGGUGCUGCAUGGUUGUCGUCAGCUCGUGCCGUGAGGUGUCGGCUUAAGUGCCAUAACGAGCGCAACCCUUUCCGGUAGUUUCCAUCAGGUGAUGCUGGGCACUCUGCCGGUACUGCCACCGUAAGGUGUGAGGAAGGUGGGGAUGACGUCAAAUCAGCACGGCUGACGUUCGGGCUACACACCUGUUACAAUGGUCAUACAGAAAGCGGUGACUCGCAAGACCAUCCAAUCAUGAAAGUUCCCUCAGUCGGAUUCGGGUCUGCAACCCGACCCCAUGAAGCG
rnacentral:rRNA from 1 species